CUGUGUGUGUACAUGACCACCAUGCAAUCUAUUACCCAGUCUGCUGUUCAAGAGAGACUUGUGAUGGAGGAAGAGCUCAAGAAGGCACUGGAUCGCUGUAAGGAGUUGGAGCAGAGCAGUGUGCCUGCAGUGGACGGGGUGGACAUAUUCGAGUGCUACAAAGUAACGGGACAAGGAAGAGUACUUGAAACAGUCUGCUGUGCAAGAGAGACUUGUGAUGAAGGAAGAGCUCAAGAAGGCACUGGAUCUCUGUAAGGAGUUGAAGCAGAGCGGUGUGCCUGCAGUGGACGGGGUGGAUAUAUUCGAGUGCUACAAAGUAACGGGAGAAGGAAGAAUACUUGAAACAGAGGGUUCUUCCUGCAAGCAUCGACUGUGGACCCCCCGGACAGAUAGCUGGGUAUCGACGCAUACUCUGACGUGAUCAAACCAAUCAGUGUCCAUGG